rnacentral:lncRNA from 1 species
GAUAAAUUAUCAAACUAACAGAAUCAUAUUAUUUUAAUUAAACAAAAUAAUUGUAUAAUGGUUCUACAUUUUUAUUAAACUUUUCGUUUGGUUACAUCACGUUUAAAUAUAUCAUUGAAAUGUUCAACCCUCAUUUCAGAUCAGCGUCAUCACCUAAUGAUUGGCAGCUGUUAUUUAUAUCUCAAUUUCAUCACGACCUCCUCAUCGCUGUGACAAGUACGUGUCAGUAAACUUUGAUUGAAUUGAAACGCAUUUGUCUUUUCAUUCACUCAAAGAAUACAUAUACACGUAUAUUCAUCUAUAAUCAGAAAUAUUUGUUUUUAUAUUUUUAUACAAUUUUUAUCUUGAUGUGCUAAC